AAUCUUUUCUAGUUGAAAGGUGCCUGCAUUAAUUUCAAAUUAAUAAAGGUGAAACUGGGAAAUAGGUGCGUUGCGUUUUGCUUUAGUUUUUCAUUUGAAGCAAGUUUAAACAAAACAAUCCCUAUGCUGCCCCCGCAACGGUAAGUGAGUGUAGUUUUGCAAUUAAGCCACUGAGUGCUAUUAACUUGGGAAGGCGCAAAUCAUUCCUCACAAGCCCGGAGACCGGCCUUGCAAUUAAAACGUUA
rnacentral:ncRNA from 2 species